AGGUUCGUGGUCCAGUCGUUAAGACGCCGCGCUCACACCGCGGAGAUCCGGGGUUCGAAUCCCCGCGAACCUACCA
rnacentral:tRNA from 1 species